GCACGCGAGCCUUGUGCUUUGUGCUUGGCAGAGUAGCACAGGAUCAGAGCAGGAGGGAGAGAGCGCGCCAGGGACAACAAAGUCACAUUAGAAAGUCUCAGAGUCUCAGGAUGAAAAGUUUUCAGGACGAGUUCAGAGUGACGAAGACGCCCUCAGAGAAGGACGAAUCAGACUCCAGCUGUGCAGACUCAGGACUGAGGACUCGGGUCAAUACAGAUGUCAAGUAAACACAGAUUAUGGUCUCAGAUCUGCGAGUUGUAGACUCAACGUCACUGCAGCUGCUGAUCAGCUCCAACCUCAGAGACCAACUUCACCACCCCAAGAAGAAGAGAGAGACUGGAAGAAUAUUUUAAUUGUCCUGACAGCAGCAGCAGCAUUAGUAGCUCUGCUGAUGUGCGCUUUACUUUGGACUGUGUUCAGAAAAAAGUGCUAAACUUCAGCUGUAAACAUCCAUAAACUCUCAGGGACAGAGUCACUCAACCAAGAUACUUACUGCCUUUGACGUCUAUUUUAAGUAUAAAAAGUUACAUGUCGAUAUGAACUGUGUAAAUGAACUGGUUCUUAUGCUUUUGUAAUUGACCUGAGCAUUUAAAAUGCUUUAUAUAACUUUCCUCAUCCACACACAUUCAUACAAGAACCUGUUUGUAUGUCUU
ensembl:lncRNA